rnacentral:snRNA from 1 species
GUGCUCACUUCAGCAGCACAAAAUUGGAAAGAUACAGAGAAGAUUAGCAUGGCCCCUGCACAAGAUGACAUACAAAUUCUGGAAGUGUUCCAUAGUUUU